GAACGCACCUUGCGCCCUUUGGUAUUCCGAAGGGCAUGCCUGUUUGAGUGUCAUUAAAUUCUCAACUUCAAAGGGCUUUGUUGCCUCUCUGAAGCUUGGAUUAUGGAGGUCUUAAAUUGCCGGCUUCACAGUCAGCUCCUCUUAAAUGCAUUAGCGGAACUUUUUUGAUGAACCUUUUAAAAGGGGACCAGCUUUGGCUUGAUAAUAUUAUCUAUGCUAUUGUUGUGAGAACCUAUGGUUUGUUAUGUUCAGCUUCUAAUGGUCCUUUGGACUGUCUCUCUUGAGGCAUACACUCUUUAAGCUUGACCUCAAAUCAGGUAGGAUUACCCGCUGAACUUAAG
rnacentral:misc_RNA from 1 species